rnacentral:rRNA from 1 species
GACGAACGCUGGCGGCGUGCCUAAUACAUGCAAGUCGAGCGGAGUUUAUCGGGAGCUUGCUCCUGAUAAACUUAGCGGCGGACGGGUGAGUAACACGUAGGCAACCUGCCCGUAAGACUGGGAUAACUACCGGAAACGGUAGCUAAUACCGGAUACGCAAGUCUCUCGCAUGAGGGACUUGGGAAAGGCGGAGCAAUCUGUCACUUACGGAUGGGCCUGCGGCGCAUUAGCUAGUUGGUGGGGUAACGGCUCACCAAGGCGACGAUGCGUAGCCGACCUGAGAGGGUGAACGGCCACACUGGGACUGAGACACGGCCCAGACUCCUACGGGAGGCAGCAGUAGGGAAUCUUCCGCAAUGGACGAAAGUCUGACGGAGCAACGCCGCGUGAGUGAUGAAGGUUUUCGGAUCGUAAAGCUCUGUUGCCAGGGAAGAACGUCCGUUAGAGUAACUGCUAACGGAGUGACGGUACCUGAGAAGAAAGCCCCGGCUAACUACGUG